GGUGACAUGGCCGAGCGGUCUAAGGCGCUAGAAUCAGGUUAUCUUCAUUCGAGAGGAAUGUUUGAAUCUAGUCUUUCGGGGCGUGAGUUCGAAUCUCACUGUCGUCA